CUAUAGUGUUGCUGUAGUGUUGCUGUAGGGUUACGGUACAGAUACUGUAGGGGUACUGUAGU
rnacentral:sRNA from 1 species